rnacentral:rRNA from 1 species
UUCGUAUGUCAUACGCAUGCACAAACGACGGCUUAUUUGCGAUCCCCUGUGUGAUCGAUUGUGCCAGAGUGCAUAAUUGAUCGAGCAACACGACCAGUACCGGCGCCGCGGCGUGCAGCAGUAGGAGUGCUCGAGGCCGAACCCGGUGCAGGAGGGCCAAAGGCUCGACCGCUUCGCGGAGCGGCACGUGGUGCUGAAAUGGCAGUGUUAGCAGUGAAUGCGGUCGGACAGGUGCGGGCCGGUGAGGAGCGGCGAGCGGAGGGAUGGCGGCCCUCAGAGGCAGCGCCGCGACGGCCUCCACAGGUAGCUGCUGGAGGGGCGGCUGCGCGUGAACCACUGAGCGUUGGAGUGGCAGUAGUCAACGCGGUACGGGGUCGAUGUGCUGGAUGACGCGAGGGAGGACCUGAGGGGCCGCCCCUAGUGGCGGAAACACUGGCUGUACGAGACAGGGCGCCGCGAGCGGUAGCCGUUCCUCUACCCAGACGGUCCCAUGCAGAAGAUGUGGAGGUCGGAGUACAGCAACAAUAGCAAAGAGAUGUAGGGCCUCGAGCGAUCCUGGUGGUGGACGCUCACGGCGCUGGAGGGCCUCGGGCACGACGAGGGCCCUACGCACGGAGAUGUGCCGCGGCUAGAGGAGCUCGGGGAGGUCUUGGCGAAGGCUGGGGCACAUGGUCGAGUACUAGCUGGAGCCCGCGUUGAUAGAGGAUCGCCUUCCGAAGUAGUAGUUGUGGUACCUACGCAACCUCGUGCUCUGCGACCACCGCAAGUUUCUCUAAAGACUGUUCCCGCACAUGGGAGGCCGCAUGCGGCACCCAGGUAAGUGUGCCGCCGCCACGGGGCUGAGGCUGCUCCAGUUCGUGUCGACGAAUGCCACCGACCUGUUGGUCGGCCCGCCGAGCCAGAACAUGCACAGGAAGCCGUCGCCACCGUGCGACAGGUGCCGCGUCUGCCGGCUCGACCGCCGACCCGACCUCCGCUCGCCCGUCUCCAAGGAGACCCACCACGUGGUGGGGUUGCUUUUCCUGUCGUCGCGCCGGAUGGAGCCGUGACGGCGAUGGCUACGGCUGGGCGACUCGAUAGACGGGCUACCUAAGCAGCUCUCCUACUUGCCAUGUCCCGAGGAACACGGUGACACCCGCGGCGUCCACCUCUAGGAAUUGGUGCAGCGGCACCCUCCCAAGUACAGAGUACCGUCUACCUUGAGGUGCGACCUCUGGCACCGCCGCCCGCACGGCUACCACCGCACCGGUGACAUGCGGCUCGUCUCCUACUUGCGCCACUACGACAGCAGCCUAGUCCACCCGGACCGAAACACCCUCUCCGGAGGGGAUCCAUUCCUGCCUCGCAAACAGGGUGUCCUCCUCCACCGCCGCGACCAGUCUCUCGAAUACCUUCCCCUCUUCCCGCGGCGCCGCGCCUUUUUCCGACCAGUGGAGGCCCUACUUCGGCUCUAACGAAGCCGCGGCCCACCCGGCGUCCUAGCUCGAGAGUGCCAUCACCGACCGUAUCAAAGGAACGUAGCCUUCUCGGUGCAACACAUUUGUCCUCCGAGGGAUUUUCUUGAUUUAUUCUCCGUACCACCGACUUCAAAUAAGAACUAAAUAUAUACGAACAUAGCUGACGAUACACAUAUGUAAAUUUAUAUCUUAUUAUGAAACAGAAACUACUAUAAUAAUAAUGUAUAGCAUUUC